rnacentral:tRNA from 1 species
GGCGAUAUAGUCAACUGGUACGACCUUGAAUUGCAAAUUCAAUAUAUGAUGGUUCAAAUCCAUCUAUCGCCU